rnacentral:rRNA from 1 species
GCCCUUACUCCUGCGGGAGGCAGCAGUUAGGGAAUCUUCCACAAUGGACGCAAGUCUGAUGGAGCAACGCCGCGUGAGUGAAGAAGGUUUUCGGAUCGUAAAGCUCUGUUGUUGGUGAAGAAGGAUAGAGGUAGUAACUGGCCUUUAUUUGACGGUAAUCAACCAGAAAGUCACGGCUAACUACGUGCCAGCAGCCGCGGUAAUACGUAGGUGGCAAGCGUUGUCCGGAUUUAUUGGGCGUAAAGCGAGCGCAGGCGGAAGAAUAAGUCUGAUGUGAAAGCCCUCGGCUUAACCGAGGAACUGCAUCGGAAACUGUUUUUCUUGAGUGCAGAAGAGGAGAGUGGAACUCCAUGUGUAGCGGUGGAAUGCGUAGAUAUAUGGAAGAACACCAGUGGCGAAGGCGGCUCUCUGGUCUGCAACUGACGCUGAGGCUCGAAAGCAUGGGUAGUGAACAGGAUUAGAUACCCUGGUAGUCCAUGCCGUAAACGAUGAGUGCUAAGUGUUGGGAGGUUUCCGCCUCUCAGUGCUGCAGCUAACGCAUUAAGCACUCCGCCUGGGGAGUACGACCGCAAGGUUGAAACUCAAAGGAAUUGACGGGGGCCCGCACAAGCGGUGGAGCAUGUGGUUUAAUUCGAAGCAACNCGAAGAACCUUACCAGGUCUUGACAUCUAGUGCCAUUUGUAGAGAUACAAAGUUCCCUUCGGGGACNCUAAGACAGGUGGGUGCAUGGGCUUGUCNUCAGCUCGUGUCNUGAGAUGUUGGGUUAAAUUCCCGCAACCAGCGCCAACCCUUGUUAAUAANUUGCCCNCAUUAAGNUNGGGCCCCUCNUAA